GGAUAUGAGGGUGAUCUGGCUGCAACAUCUGUCACCCCAUUGAUUGCCAGGAUUGAUUUGGCUGAUGUAGCUGGUGAGGCGGGUGUCCCCUUCCUCCCUCACUGCUCCAUGUGUGUCCUCCCGAAGCUGUGCGCUCAGUCGAAGAGGACAACCUUACCCAAUAGAGGAGGACUGUUCUUCGGUCAAGGGUAUACAAGUAGCUGCACUUCUCUGCUAGAAUCCCCAAACAAGCUCUCAGCAUUCCUUCAAUACUCUAGGGACAUAAUCAGAAUGACUGCCUUCAUCAUUGGAGGUCAUUCUUAUAGACCACCCUCAG
rnacentral:snRNA from 1 species